rnacentral:pre_miRNA from 1 species
AUACUACUCCCUCCGUCCGGAAAUACUUGUCCUAAAAAUAGAUAAAAUGGAUGUAUCUAUAACUAAAAUAAGUCCAGAUACAACCAUUUUUAGGACAAGUAUUUUCAGACGGAGGGAGUACAUG